GAUGAACGCUCGCUACAGGCUUAACACAUGCAAGUCGAGGGGCAGCAUGAUUGAAGCUUGCUUCAAUCGAUGGCGACCGGCGCACGGGUGAGUAACACGUAUCCAACCUGCCGAUAACUCGGGGAUAGCCUUUCGAAAGAAAGAUUAAUACCCGAUAGUAUAGUAUUUCCGCAUGGUUUCACUAUUAAAGAACUUCGGUUAUCGAUGGGGAUGCGUUCCAUUAGAUAGUUGGCGGGGUAACGGCCCACCAAGUCAACGAUGGAUAGGGGUUCUGAGAGGAAGGUCCCCCACAUGGGAACUGAGACACGGUCCAAACUCCUACGGGAGGCAGCAGUGAGGAAUAUUGGUCAAUGGACGAGAGUCUGAACCAGCCAAGUAGCGUGAAGGAUGACUGCCCUAUGGGUUGUAAACUUCUUUUAGACGGGAAUAAAGUGGAGUAUGCAUACUCCUUUGUAUGUACCGUAUGAAUAAGGAUCGGCUAACUCCGUG
rnacentral:rRNA from 1 species